AAUAUUGGACAAUGGGGGCAACCCUGAUCCAGCCAUGCCGCGUGUGUGAAGAAGGCCUUCGGUUUGUAAAGCCUUUUAAGUGGGGAGGAGGGGCUUUUGGUUAAUACUGUGAAUGUUGGCCGUUACAAACAAAAUACGCACGGGCUACCUCUGGGCCGGCAGCCGGGGUAAUACAGAGGGUGCAAGCGUCAAGCGGAAUUACUGGGCGUAAGGGGCGCGUAGGUGGUUCGGAAAGAAAGAUGUGAAAUCCCAGGGCUCAACCUUGGAACUGCAUUUUUAACUGCCGGACUAGAGUAUGUCAGAGGGGGGUAGAAUUCCACGUGUAGCAGUGAAAGGCGUAGAUAGGUGGAGGAAUGCCAGUGGCGAAGGCGACUACCUGGACUGAUACUGACACUGAGGUGCGAAAGCGUGGGGAGCAAAC
rnacentral:rRNA from 1 species